ACACUCCCAGACAAAUAAGCUUCAGAAGAGAAAAGCAACCUUUCCUUUACAACCCCAGAAAAACAACAAUAGUAGAUUUGAACCAGAACCACCAUCCACCGGCCACCACCACCCUUAGAUGAGAGAGAGAAAGAGGGAGGAAGAGAGAGAGAGAGAGAGAGAGAGAGAGGAUUACAUUCUCCCUCUCUAUAUAUAUCUGUAUAUACAUAUAUGUAGCAUGCAAACUAAAGGGUGGAUCUUUAUUUGGUGAAACUUCAACCCCACAUCCUUAUUUCUUUCUAUCUUCCAGUGUUUCAUCUUAAAAACCACUCUUUUUGUAUCUUUCCCACCAUUUUUGCUAAUCUGUUUGCCAUUUCUCGAACCCCUUUUCAUGAAAUAUAGAGAAAGGUUCAGUCUUGAUUUGAUCUUUCGAAUCUCAGUUCAUGAAGUCAUACACAUGCCACUCGAUGGAUUCAUCUUCUUGGAUGUUAUCAUAUGCUUUCAAGGUUGAGUUUUUGAGGUAAAACACCUUUAAUUACACGUAGAGACAUACACGAUGAGUGUAAGUAUAUGCCUGGCUCCCUGUAUGCCAUUUUCAGAGCCCAUCGGUUUCUACAAUGGCCUCCGUGGAUGGCGUAUGAGGAGCCAAGCAUAUUUCCCAUCUUGUUCUUUCUACCACGACUCUUUUCUUACAUUGUCUAUACAUAUCAAGGCGAUUUAUGUCAUUUCAUAUGUCUCAGAGACUCAAAACCUGAACUUUUUGCAAUUAAUAGGGACUAGUGAUUAAUUAAUUGCCUAUAUGUAUACUUUUCUUUCUUCUUGAUAUGUGAAAUUUCGUAGAGGUUGAAGGGUAGCAUUUUGAAUUCAUCAAAGAUGCAUGUUUAGUUACAUCUUUGUUCUCCAUAGCUAGCUAAUGGAAACCCUCUCAGGUAGAAUUUCUUCAACUUUCUUGAUCAUCUUCGUCACCAUUUCUAUUUUAGGGUUUUCAUUGUUACACAAUAAUUAAGGUAUUGCUUUCUAAACUUUACUUUCCAUGAUGUGAUGUUUUUUUCUUGAAUUUGGACAUGGCCAAAGAUUCCAAGAAUGUUGAUAGUAACACAACAUAACACAAUUAAACCCUGAUUAAUUCGAAAAUCCUUUCAAUGACAUAUGUAUUUAAACCUUUUAUGUUUUCUAUCCCACAACAAAACACACAGCAUUACUUCUAUAUACCUUUUGGCACCAUAAAGAACUAUCAAAAGUACUUGUUAAAAAUUUGAUUGAAAUUUUAUGUGCUAAAUUCAAAGGUUUUGAGUUAUAAAACUACGGUUUGUGAUUACCAGGUCUAUAUACAUCAAUGGAUAUAUAAUAUAAGGGUCAACAUUUCACUUCUUGAAUGUAGCAUUUGCUGGUUCUUUAAGCUUUUUGUUUGCUAAAAAUAUAUGUUUAUGGAGUGUUAGCUAGGGCUUUAUCAUAUUUGAUCAUUAGUUAUUUUGACCAAAACCCUAGAUAAGUAUAAUUGAUCAACGAUCUUUUCUUGAUGAUUUACACCCUUAUGUGUCUUAUAUCCAACAAUUAAUACAAACCAUAAAUUACAACAUAUAUACAACACCCCUAUUUCACAUGAUCUAACAAAAAGAUGUGUUCAGCUUUCUUGUGUUGAAAAUGUCUACGGAACUAGGGAUUCAAUUGAACAAUCCUUUUAAUGGCAUUUUUAGAAUGACAAGACAUCCCAUAAUUGAAGCUUGUGAGAUUUGAAAUUAAUAAUACAACUCCCUUUGAAAUAAUUAAUUCAAAAAUGAUUACCACUAAACCAUCUUGAUAGUGAAAUUCUUAACCCAUAACACAAACCACACACCACACCCUAUAUAUAUGUUUGUUUUGGGUCCAUAAGAGUAGUAUUCUGUAAGUGCUAGUUAUAAAAAUAUGUUUAAAAAAGAUACAUAUAGAGGGAGGAUUUGUGUUAUUAAAAUUCGUAUUGUCCGCUUCAUUUUAUUAAUAAAUCAUAUUAUAUAUAAUUAAAUACAUAACUUGACCUACAUUAUCGAAAUAUGGAGGACUUCCAAAGUUUUUGUAUUUAUCAUUGAUCGAUUCUAUUAUGUGCAUUUGUACCUCUUCUUGUUAAUUAGCAAUGUACUUGUGGAUUUUUUUAAUAAAAAAAAGAAUGUAGUAUUUUUAUUGUAACGAAAGGAGUGUGGAAGCUAAGAUAUAGCAUUGCAAAUUUGCAACAUCGUUCCGGAUUAAAGUUGAUGUUGGUACUUUAUCUUUCGGGUUUCACUUAUAAUUUGUUGUCUUGUUUUAUUUGAGACAAAAUCUUGAAUCCCAAUAAAAUGAUCCAUUUUGUUUUGUUUGGCUCCGUCUAAGUACAGUAUGUUUUCUGGUUGGUUUAUGUAGACAAAAUAAUUAGACAAAUACAUAUAAUUAUUAGUGUUUGACUGGUCAAUAACCAUCAAGCUACUAGCAUAGUGGUCAAGAAAAGAUUGUCUCUAAUACCUAGGCAUGUGUAGCUUAAACUGAACCAGAUGUAUGAUAAUAGGAACAUCUGCCAUCGAAAGAGAGAGCUUGUUGUUUUAGACUAGCUAGGGUUUUUUCCUACAGCCAUGGCUACUGUUUCACGUGCUCUCUCUCUCUCUAGAAUGCACAUAGUGAAGGUGUAGUGUGUGUGUUUCCUUUUUGAUGUUAAUAAUGGGGGGGCAGGGGAGUACUCAUGAUGAGAAAUAUGGGUCCUGGUGAAAGUAAGGCUAACAGGGAAUGUGUUUGAGCAGAAAGAGAAAAGCAGAAAUUAAGAGAAUCUCUCUCUCUCUCUCUCUCUCUCUCUCNCAAAAAGAGAAAAAUAAAAAAUAAGAGACUCUCUCUCUCUCUCUCUCUCUCUCUCUCUCUCUCUCUCUCUCUCUCUCUCUCUCUCUCUCACACACACACACACACACACAAACACACACAGACACACAAACACACAUGUAAUCAACUCGAUCAGAAAUAUAUUUGUUAACAAGAUUCUAAGUUCGUUUAAAUUAAAUGAAUGAAAUGUUUUACAUGAAAUAAAGUUGUGAAAAAAUAAUUAAAUGGGAACAGUAGAGGAGAUGAGAGGAGAAGCGAAAUGACGAAGGGAGCAGGUGGACCACUUCCACUUGUUAUUAGGGUUUCUAUUGCUUCUUGUUGAAGGACCCUUCGUGAUAACUUUUAGGCCAAUUUCUAUCUCUAAUUCUAAUUGGUCUGUGAAGUCCAUAUAUGGGAUAAUUUAGGUGAAUUUCCAUUCCUUUUAUUUUUGUUGCAAUAUACUAGUAUAUAACUCUUUUUAAAUAGGAAUUUGAUUCCAUCACAACAUAUAUACAUAAUAAAUAAAUAAUUAAUUAUAUAUUAUAUAGAUUCUUAAAACAUAAAUUAUUAUAAUAAAAAUAUUUAACUUAUAUGUAAUCAUCUCAUUUUAAAUAGACAGAAGAAACAUAAUAUAUUAUUGUGACUUGAUAAAUAAAUGAGCGAAUAUAUUUGUUUAUUUGUAUAUUAUAACAUUUUAUUUUUUCUUGUAUAAAUAAGUAUCAUCAUAAUUAUUUUUAUUUUGAAAAACCAAUAAAAUAUUAAAAAUUAACUAAUCAGAAGAAUAAUUAAAACCAAAAGCUAAAAGUUCUGAAAAAUCUAAUAGCUUGGAAAACCUAUUUAAAAUAGUUUGUAAAUUAAGUGUGUUUGUUUAAAAUAAAAACUAAAAUCUUUUAUUUUUGAUUAUUUUUUAAAUUUGAUUUUUUUAAGCCUUUAAAAGCUUAAUUAAAGCGUAUAUAAAACCUCUCAAAACUUCAUUGCCUAAGACACCCUACUUAUAACAAAUUACAAAAUACAAGGCUCAUCUAAUUAAACAUGGACAUUUUAAGUAAAUCUAACUAACUCAUUCGAAAUUUUGAAUAUAUAUCAGAACUAGUUGUGAAACACAUAUAUUAUAUGAAUUAAUUGUAAAAAAAAAGUUAAAUAUAAAGGUUAAAGUAUUUUAGAACUUUGAAUUUAUAAGAAAAUAACACAAAUAAUGAAUUAUUAUAAUGAAAAUGGUUUUUAUCUUUUAAAUUUAAAUAGAUAAUUUAAAUAAAUGAACAAAAUGAACUAAUAAACUUUAAUUUUAGGAAUUUUAAAAUUAAAAAGUAAGUUGAUUAAUGAAAUUAAUAUUCAUUUGUUAGUACAAAUAUUAUAAUUAUUACAUUAAAAUAUUAUGUAAAAUUUAAUAAAAUAGAAAAAACUUAUAAAAUGAUAUGUGGAAAAAAGCUCAAAAUAAUUACAAAAUGAUAUUUGGCAAUUUGAAUGNAAUAAUAAUAAUAAUAAUAAUAAAAUUCAUUUAUUAGAGAGGAUUAGAAAAACCAAGGAAUUAAAAUAAUUAAAAUAAAAUGAAAAAAAAAAAUUAAUGUCCUAACACCCAUAAACACGAUGACAAUUUAAAGCAUAAAAUUCAGAAAUUUGGUUGGAAAUCCUAAAAAAUAAAAUGGUUACCGUAAACUCAAACAAAAUAAAUUACCCAUCUUCGCACCCGUACAGACAGUGUUAACAUCUCUUCUUAUUAAGACGUAUAAAGCCUAUCCAAUUAUAUGCAACAAGAUAACAUUGUAGAAUUAUUUUUUUUAAUAAAAAAAAUAUAUUGUAAAAAAUCUACUAGUUUACAUAUACCAGUGUUUAAGAUACCUUCUUUAUAAUAUGAUAGUUUUUUAAUGUGAUAUUAGAGUAUAAAAAAUAAAAGUAAUUUGUUAUUAUUUAGUUUAACCCAAGGAUAUGAUUCAUUAUGUUCAUAUAUUAUAAUACGUACUCUAAUUUUCAUUGACACAAUAUAUGAAACCAACCAAACCAACUGAGUUUAGUUAAUUAGUGCAUAAACCGAGUUGCUCAUAUAUGUCGUAUUUAAUACAGUUAAUCUUACUUACAAAGAUAUCAUAAACGGCCCCGUAAACUAAUACUCAACUUUCAUUUUUGGUCUUUUAACAAAACCUUUCCUCGUUGUCAUCCCAAACGAAGCUUCUUUACACUAAAUGGUCACCAUCUUCCCGUUCAGGUACUAUUUUUACCACCAC
rnacentral:lncRNA from 1 species